GGAAGCUAGCUGUCCUCCGGCUACACAACGGUGCUACCCCAGACAGUGCUGUUGAAGUUACUGUAGACCUUCAUUGCAAAACGUAUUUGGUGACAUAUCAAUAUAUAUAAUAACUUUUUUAAUAUUUCUGUAGAAAAGGCCCAUGGAGUUGGUGGAAUACUCCUUUAAUUCAUUGCCAUUUACUCAGCUGGGCCAGGGGCGCUUUAAUUAGGUCAGGUGGAAAUGUCCGACAGAUCUCAACUCCAUAAAAGGAGGAAAUUGCCAUCGCCUGAUCUCGCUGCUUUCUCUUCCUUAACUCCAUCUCACCCAGAAGUUCUGUGCGUCCAUGAAUCCACCACAGACUACCCAGUAAAUAUACCACUUUAUGGUUAAAGGAA